UAUGAUCUUCAGGGCAGGGUGCGAUUCCCUACCGGUGGUAUAGCCCACGAGCCGCAAGGUAUGAUUCGGUGUAACUCCGAAGCCGACAGUGUAAAGUCUGGAUGAAAGAAGAUAAAU
rnacentral:ncRNA from 1 species